CCUACGGGAGGCAGCAGUGAGGAAUAUUGGUCAAUGGUCGGGAGACUGAACCAGCCAAGCCGCGUGAGGGAGGAAGGUACAGAGUAUCGUAAACCUCUUUUGUCAGGGAACAAAGACUGGGACGCGUCCCCGGAUGAGUGUACCUGAAGAAAAAGCAUCGGCUAACUCCGUGCCAGCAGCCGCGGUAAUACGGAGGAUGCGAGCGUUAUCCGGAUUUAUUGGGUUUAAAGGGUGCGCAGGCGGUCUGUUAAGUCAGCGGUGAAAGCCCGGGGCUCAACCCCGGGCCGGCGGUUGAAACUGGCAGUCUCGAGUUGGAGAGAAGUAUGCGGAAUGCGCGGUGUAGCGGUGAAAUGCAUAGAUAUCGCGCAGAACUCCGAUUGCGAAGGCAGCAUGCCGGCUCCACACUGACGCUGAGGCACGAAAGCGUGGGUAUCGAACAGGAUUAGAUACCCUUGUAGUC
rnacentral:rRNA from 1 species